CUCCUCAGUUCUUCAUAUUUCUCUCAAAUUACCUUUCAACAAUAUGUUCAUAUCUCAGCCAAUAAAGCGAUGGUUGAUCCACAUGCAAAUAAAAAGGUAAGGAAAAAAAUUUAAAUGGGUUUUAAAAAUUCAGACUGCCAAAAAUAGAUGAAAUAGCUCAGAAGAGACAUAAUACUUAUGAAAACUGAGAAAGUGAUCUUUUUAUUUUCAACCAAGAUAAUUCAAUUCAUAAAUUGUUGCUGUAUUAGCAACUUGGAACUUGAAAUUGGCACCAGGAAAAUUAAAAGGAAAAAAAAUCAGGUAUACUUCUAUCCUUGAAAUGUCAUUUAUAUUUCUUUCUGCAAGUUGAUGCGGACAUUGCUGAAUAUUUUCCCAACAGCUUCAAAGAGUGGGUCACAGACGGUGUGGACGUAGAUGGAAUAGACACGGCUGAUGCACUGAAUCUCAAUCAGGAAGCUCUUAAUGCAUGGUACAACUGCCCAGAUGUGCAGGAAAGAGAGAAUGGCGAAGUAAAUGCCCCAGAUGAGUGCCAUCGGGAUGCCAAAGAGGGCAGACAGCAAGCGGUAAAACCAGUAUUUCGUCACAGUGAAGGUGGUGAAGCUGGC
rnacentral:lncRNA from 1 species